rnacentral:rRNA from 1 species
UGUGUAGGCGGUUCUCCAAGUUUGGUGUGAAAUCUCCCGGCUCAACCGGGAGGGUGCGCCGAAAACUGGGGGGCUAGAGUGCGGGAGGGGAGAGUGGAAUUCCUGGUGUAGCGGUGAAAUGCGUAGAUAUCAGGAGGAACACCGGUGGUGUAGACGGCUCUCUGGACCGUAACUGACGCUGAGACACGAAAGCGUGGGUAGCAAACAGGAUUAGAUACCCUGGUAGUCCACGCCCUAAACGAUGCACAUUUGGUGUAGGUCAUUCAGUUGAUCUGUGCCGGAGCUAACGCGUUAAAUGUGCCGCCUGGGGAGUACAGUCGCAAGGCUGAA